rnacentral:rRNA from 1 species
UAAGGAAUAUUGGACAAUGGAGGCAACUCUGAUCCAGCCAUGCCGCGUGAAGGAAUAAGGCCCUAUGGGUUGUAAACUUCUUUUAGACGGGACAAAACCCCUUUACGUGUAAAGGGUUGAUGGUACUGUCAGAAUAAGCAUCGGCUAACUUCGUGCCAGCAGCCGCGGUAAUACGAAGGAUGCAAGCGUUAUCCGGAAUUAUUGGGUUUAAAGGGUGCGUAGGCGGACUAGUAAGUCAGUGGUGAAAGCCUGCAGCUUAACUGCAGAAUUGCCAUUGAUACUGUUAGUCUUGAGUACAGUUGAGGUAGGCGGAAUGUGUCAUGUAGCGGUGAAAUGCUUAGAUAUGACACAGAACACCGAUUGCGAAGGCAGCUUGCUAAGCUGUAACUGACGCUGAGGCACGAAAGCGUGGGGAGCAAACA